rnacentral:rRNA from 1 species
UACAGAGGGGGCAAGCGUUGUCCGGAUUUACUGGGCGUACAGCGCGCGCAGGCGAUUGCGUAUGUGAGCGGUGACAUCCGCGGGCUCAACCCGCGGCGGCCCGCUUACACAGCGCGACUGGAGGCAGGGAGAGGGAUGUGGAAUACCCGGUGGAGCGGUGAAAUGCGUAGAGAUCGGGUGGAACACCAGCGGCGAAGGCGGCAUCCUGGCCCUGUACUGACGCUGAGGCGCGAUAGCGUGGGGAGCAAACGGG